CGGAAGCAUGCCAAUCUUCCUGGUAAGCCUAAACUGUCCAAUCUCCAGUUUUAUUCUUGUUCUUCCAACUUUGUAGAUUAGUCCUUAAUCUUCUGCCUUCUUUAAGAAUUUCUUUGGCUUGCCCUUUGGUAUCUAUAUAUUUGUUUUCCCUCUCUUGAGCUGGUUUUGGGUAUACCUGCAACGCAUAGUAAUAUUAACCUUGAAUUCUUUAAAAUUUUCUUUCUUGUUAAUCAUAAAGUAAGUUAGCCAUUGGGUGUAUUUUCAUGGGUGUUAUGUAUUAUAUUGUCUUUGUAUGAUUCGUGCAUGGAUUCCAAUGAAUUGGAAUCGGAAGGUUGUCUCUUCGUUUGUUCUCUUUCGGGUUCCCUUCUCCCUAACAUCCGCAAUCUUGGCCAGAUGUUGGUCUCUGUGGUCCAGCCAUGUGUGUUUGGCACUGACUGGAAUAAAGGUUUAACCUUGAUUAGCUUUAGAAUCCCAAUUCUUUUUUGCCUUUAGAAUUGGGCCACAUGACAAUAGUUCGGCGCUAUGUCUGUUCUUGCAAGCUUUUAGGGUUUUAGUUAAACUGAUUACAUGAAUGAACAAACUGCUAUACUGAGUUGCUGCUCCAUGCACGUAUCCUGACCUAUCAAACAUUAAAACACAUAGGAAUUAGUAGGAAACAUGAAAAGAAGUAUUCUAGCUAAUAAAUUGCAUCAAUGUCAAUGUCGAAAAAUUUUUAGAUUAAUAUAUGUGCAUAUUUAUUAAAUUUAAAAAGUUUAAGGGCCUUUUGAUUUAAAAC
rnacentral:misc_RNA from 1 species